GACUUGAGGGCGGGGCCGAUGGGGAGAGCAGGGCGGGCGGGGUCGGCGGGGCGCUGAAAGGCUGAGGCCAGGAGGGAGGGCGGGCCUGGCGUGGCGCACCCGGCGGUGCUGGCACUCGUCUCUCGGUGACCAGAGAGCAGUGUGAGGAUUUGGCAGCGACGUGUUGACGCUGCGCUUGCGUACCAUACGUAGGGCAAGACUGGAAGGCCGCUGGGAAAAUACCAGCAUCCCGAACGCAAAAAACGGACAGCGGGUCCACGUGCUAGGGAUUCGACCGCAUCCAAUGCAGGUGGGAAGAUCCCGCUAGACUAAAAUAGCUUAUCCUUAUCAAAACCCGGAAAUGCCAAAUGGACACGUGGGAUGAGGGUUCGGUUAAAUAACGCAGGAUGGUGGCCUACAAGGUUUCAGUGUGUUUCUGGAAAAGGAAAUAAUAUUCAGGAUGCCUAACACCGAUGAGUGAAGCCUCAAGUUAAUGAGCCCUGGGCUGGAGGCUUCCUAAAACACUAUGCAAAUGUGUAUUAAACAAGGCGUAGAGGAAACACUGACCAUUUUAAGAUGGUUGAUGCAACUUCUGAAAAUCUGAAGAACUUUGUUUCAAGCUGGUAUUAGCAUUUCACGAAAAGGAUCGGGGAGUUCUGCAUUAGGGUGAAGUAGAUUUCUCAUUAACAUGGAUGAAAAAUACCUAUUGAUAGUAUAAUUCGUUGAGCAGAGGGCAGAAGAGGGCGCCGCAACUCUGAGCAGGGUUGAGAAGCCUGUUUGGAUCCAGCUCUGCCAUUCUGGGCCGUGAGGUUACCAAUGUAGCAGUGAAGAAAGCCGGGGAUCACAGGCUCUCCUCCUUGUUAUAACAUUAGUAACAACACAAGAGGAGAGGAAACCAAGAGAGAAGACAGAAAGCCCGGAACUGGCAACCAGGACCAGAGACUUGGAGGCUGGAAGUCAAUAACCAAAGUGCCAGCACAGACCAAGCUGGGAGGACUCCAUUCUGGAUUGCGGAUGGCCACCUUCUUGCCAGGAGUCAAAAGUGAGCAGCAGUGCCCACCUCUUGGUCAUGCAGGGUGAAGGACUGAACCAGGGCUUGUGUUUGCCAGCAGCUUGCGGCACCGGGAAUGAUGGACAGCCACGUGGUCUCUGGCUGGCAGCGUGGAUGAGACACCGAUGUGGAUUCAGAGGCACCAAGGACUACGAACAUCAACAUGGCCUCCACAGCAGCACUGAUCAUGGAAGUCUUUCAAGGGGACAACUCAGAAAAUGAAUCGUUCUUCAUCUCGGAUAUCUUGUUGCUCAGAGUCAGGGUGAUCGUGGGAUCGGGCAGCGUGUGUGUGGAACAGAAGUGGGCGUGGGGGGGGCACCUAGAAGAGCUGCGGCUCCAUUCUGCGGGCUGAGCGGCAGCAGUACUUGUCCUAGCAGGCGGGAACCGGGUGAGGUGGAUCCUAUAGUUGCUUGAGCCUCCAGGGUCCGAGGAGAACCUUCUCUACUGGGCAAUGACAUGCUCCUUUGUGCCCUCCCCCUGCCGCAGCCCUGCUCCAUACCCAUCGCUGCCCAGUCUCGCUUCCCUCUGUUGCGCUGCUCUGUUCUGCAGUAUGGAAAAAAAAUAUACUUUAGGGGUGGGGCACGCCAUUGAACUUUUCAUAAUUUCCAUCUCUUUGCUGAAAUUCCCUCUGACUACACCCAUUGUCAGCUUUCCCCACCAGAUCCUUUAAUGUAUUGUUACACUUUUUAAAAUUCUUCUCUGCUAAUUUGAAUACUCAGAUCAUAUGCAAAUCCGCUUCUGUUGCUUCUGUCUAGUGUAAUUUUUUUUCCUUCCGAAGCGUUUUUUUUCUGCUAGUGUUCUUACAGUACCCCAGGGGAAUGCGAUGUCUCAUACAGGCUGUGAGACAGGGCUGCUUCAUACAGGCCAACAGGGACCACAAAUGCCUCCUACAGGCUGGGGAAUGCAACGUCUCAGCUUUUGUUC